rnacentral:rRNA from 1 species
GGUGGUUUGUCGCGUUGUUCGUGAAAACUCACAGCUUAACUGUGGGCGUGCGGGCGAUACGGGCAGACUGGAGUACUGCAGGGGAGACUGGAAUUCCUGGUGUAGCGGUGGAAUGCGCAGAUAUCAGGAGGAACACCGGUGGCGAAGGCGGGUCUCUGGGCAGUAACUGACGCUGAGGAGCGAAAGCGUGGGGAGCGAACAGGAUUAGAUACCCUGGUAGUCCACGCCGUAAACGGUGGGUACUAGGUGUGGGUUUCCUUCCUUGGGAUCCGUGCCGUAGCUAACGCAUUAAGUACCCCGCCUGGGGAGUACGGCCGCAAGGCUAAAACUCAAAGGAAUUGACGGGGGCCCGCACAAGCGGCGGAGCAUGUGGAUUAAUUCGAUGCAACGCGAAGAACCUUACCUGGGUUUGACAUGCACAGGACGACUGCAGAGAUGUGGUUUCCCUUGUGGCCUGUGUGCAGGUGGUGCAU